UCGUAACAAGGUCUCCGUUGGUGAACCAGCGGAGGGAUCAUUACCGAGUUUACAACUCCCAAACCCCUGUGAACAUACCACUUGUUGCCUCGGCGGAUCAGCCCGCUCCCGGUAAAACGGGACGGCCCGCCAGAGGACCCCUAAACUCUGUUUCUAUAUGUAACUUCUGAGUAAAACCAUAAAUAAAUCAAAACUUUCAACAACGGAUCUCUUGGUUCUGGCAUCGAUGAAGAACGCAGCAAAAUGCGAUAAGUAAUGUGAAUUGCAGAAUUCAGUGAAUCAUCGAAUCUUUGAACGCACAUUGCGCCCGCCAGUAUUCUGGCGGGCAUGCCUGUUCGAGCGUCAUUUCAACCCUCAAGCACAGCUUGGUGUUGGGACUCGCGUUAAUUCGCGUUCCUCAAAUUGAUUGGCGGUCACGUCGAGCUUCCAUAGCGUAGUAGUAAAACCCUCGUUACUGGUAAUCGUCGCGGCCACGCCGUUAAACCCCAACUUCUGAAUGUUGACCUCGGAUCAGGUAGGAAUACCCGCUGAACUUAAGCAUAUCA
rnacentral:sRNA from 1 species